UGUCCCAUGGCUUAGUUGGUUACGGCGUCCGACUGUUAUACCAUGUAAUCGUUCCUAUCGAUAUACAUCGGAAGAUCGAGAGUUCAAGUCUCUCUGGGACAG